AAUGAUUUUUUGGAAUCAAAACACGUGUUACAUAAUAUAGGAAUCUUGCUUCAGUUUGAACUUAUUUGGUUUUGUUUUUUUUUGUUUAUCAUGAAGAAAAGAUAAGGCAUGAAAAAUGAGUUGAAGUGAAUUUCUCCAAAGAUCUAGUAGUAGUCCAAGUGAUCUAAAUUGUGUAAGUCCCUGUGAACCAGAUACUCCACAUUGUGAUGCUGGGAUCGGAAGUAAUUUUUUAAAAAAUGUAUAUGCUUGAAAGAAAACCAUAAUCUGUGAAUAAAUCGUAUUCAUUACUUAAAUUCCAUCUAAACUCAGUGCGGAUUCUUAGUUACUUGAUACUUAAAUUAGUGUAGUACACAAGUCUUUCUUGGACAUAGAACACAGUACAAAUCAAGAUAGUAGAUACACUACAAGUCUAGUCCAGUACAAAUCAAGAUAGUAGAUACACUACAAGUCUACAAUCAUACAACAGCUUGGCUACCUCUUUUAAAGGAUAGCGUCCAUCGCUUCCAACCAGCACAAUGGUAAGAUAAAAUUAUCAAUAAUAAUAAUCCAAAUCAAACAUUUGAAAAUCUCAGCAAUGCAGGCUAAUUAUAUGUGCAAAACAUAUAUAGUAUUACAGUUUUGUUUUCUUCACCUAAUGUCACAUAUAUCUAGUACAAAGAUAAGAACAAAAAGUUUAGAUGCACUAUAAUAUUCGAAAUUCUAUAUUAAAUGGUGACAACUUGAUAUGCUUUGAUAUUAUGGAAAGGUUGAAAAUAUUUAUUUAUCUUAUUAAAACCAAAGAGAUUUUGUUGCCAAAAAUGUGCCAAAGAGAUCUAUACGGAUUAGCUUAUAAAUUUUUGAAAUGUAAUAAACUUGUGUUGUCAAAGUCAUGGUCAAACAUUUCCAUAUUCUAAUCAUGCUUUCCAUAUUGGAUUAAAUUCAUGGUCAAAUCAAAUCUAAUAUUAACUCUUCAAGAUAUCUGGUCAAACCAUAACGUACCAUUGCACUAUAUAAAGAACGAUGAAGAAUUGUUAGCAAAAUUAUAAUAUUUUCUUUGGAGAAUGAAGAACGUUUCCUUCAAAUUUAUGUUCUUGGUUGCUCUUGUUUCUCUUGUCUUUCGACAAGAUCUCGUGGAGGGUAGGGCAUUGGUUCCAAAUAGAGGCGGCGGGAAUUAUCACGACCCGGUUUGUAACCCGUAUGAUCCCAACUGCGUCAAACCUUGUAAUCCAGAGAAUCCAAAUUGCGCCAUGAAACAAGGUGACAUGGAUACAAAUAAAGCCGACGGGAACUAUCACGACCCGCCUUGUGACCCGUAUUAUGAUCCAAAUUGCGUCAAACCCUGUAAUCCAGAGAACCCAAAUUGUUAAUAGAACUAAGGCAUUGGAUAAGGUCUAAUAGGAUAUUUAUUAAAUAAAAUGUGAAUGUA